rnacentral:rRNA from 1 species
GAUGAACGCUGGCGGCGUGCCUAAUACAUGCAAGUCGAGCGAACAGACGAGGAUCUUGCUCCUCUGACGUUAGCGGCGGACGGGUGAGUAACACGUGGAUAACCUCCCUAUAUGACUGGGAUAACUUCGGAAACCCGGAGCUAAUCCCGUAUAACCUGUUGAACCCCAUUGUUCAUCGGUGAAAGACGGUCUUUCUGUCACUUAUCGAUGGUUCCCCGCCGCAUUAGCUAGUUGUUAAGGUAACGGCUUACCAAGGCAACGAUGCGUAGCCGCCCUGAGAGGGUGAUCGGCCACACUGGAACUGAGACACGGUCCAGACUCCUACGGGAGGCAGCAGUAGGGAAUCGUCCGCAAUGGGCGAAAGCCUGACGGAGCAACGCCGCGUGAGUGAAGAAGGUCUUCGGAGCGUAAAACUCUGUUAUUAGGGAAGAACAAAUGUGUAAGGAAAUAUGCACGUCUUGACGGUACCUAAUAAGAAAGCCACGGCUAACUACGUG